rnacentral:lncRNA from 1 species
GGCGUCAUGAACUAUAAGGUAGAGCUUUUUUUUUUAGAUUGAAACAUAAAUAAAAAGGACUGAGACUGAGGAGGUCAGGUUGUCCUGGAAACGCCAAUCCUCCUGACCUCAGGUGGUCGUAAUGAAUCAGCUGACCAGUUAGAGCGAAAAAUCUGAUAAAACACUGAAACGCAGGUCUGAGUCCUGCAGAGAAAUCUAGUCCCAGAUCUGUAUUCAGUCCAGGUAACCAAGUGCAUGCCUGUGUGUGUGUGUGUGUGUGUGUGUGUUAGCAUGUGCCUCUCCCCGGGGCGUUGCGCGGCCGUGCUGUGAGGACGGGAUCUUUUAUCUUGGCUGACGUCCCAAUCAAUCAGCCAGACACUGAUGGAGACCCAGGGUGCCCACAGAGUCCACACACACACACACACACACACACACACACACACACACACACACACACCUGGAGCUCUUAACCCCUUUAUCUCUGUCCUUUGUCGAACAGCGGGCUUUUUGUUCAUCGCAGAGUCAAGAGGAAGGUCUUUGUCGGGUCCUGAUUGUGUGUCUGUGUCCUCACUUUUAACACAAAUACACACAAACACACACAAACACACACACACACACACACACACACACACACACACACACACCUGGGAGUCUCUGCAGGACACUUUUCCACCAAUCAGGUGAGUCCAGGUAACAUCCUUAAUGACAUCCUCUGUUAAAUCUGCAGGUUUAUGCUGUCACGUUAACAGCUUUUCAAAAUAAAGGUCACAACAGGAGGACAGUAAACACUGAUAUUUUCAGAGUAAAGUUGAACCUGCAAACUCUUUAGAAAUUAAAUACUAGACUCUAUUAAAAAUGUGUUUUAUGAAUGAAUUUAUUCCUCUGAGUUUUAUUUUCUAAAUCUUCUUCUAUAAGAAAUAAGUUCUUGAAUCUCUAAACUCAAACUUUAAUACAAACAUGAACGCUGCAGUAUUGGACGUUCAGACUGAACCUCAACAAAAACGUGAGAUCCUCUCAUGUUGGUGUCAAAGCUGUGUAAAAAGUAACACCCACCUGCUGUGUCUAACAGAGUGUUGAAAGUGUCUUCACUGUAGAUGUUCCACACGGUCAUGAUCAACGUUCUUCCCUGAAUCUCUCCAACUUUUUCCCAAAUUUCCACAGCCUUUAAAUCGACCCCGCGUCCGUCUAACUUUUCAAACAGAUUGAUCGACUCGAACACAAACGUCAGCCCUCCCUCCUCGACGAUCCGUCUCCGCUCGUCUUCACGCCCGCAGCUAUUUCACGUGCGAUUAGUCUCUCAGGCGUCAUCAUCCGAGAGCGGCGGGGUACACUCCUCAUACAUCAGCCGCAACAGGCCUCAUUAAGUACCUGGCACCUGCUUCCUAUAGAGACCAAUUAGAAAACUGGGAGUAAUGGGAGGAAAUCUCUCUCUCUGUCUUUCAGGAUAUGAGCCAAUCAGGAGCCAGAUUAAAUCACCUCAGCGAGCUCGUUAACAACCAUGGGAGAUCUAAGGUGGAAGUAGGAGCAGUAGGUCAAAGGUUAUUGGCUGUUUGUUGGAUCCAGCUCCUAGUGGCUGUUUAGUGAACUGCAGCUCCUCCCUAAACCAAACAAUGUGACUAAAUAACGAGGUGUGAUCCUCCUGCUUUUGCUCUCCAUACACAGUUUUUCCUGAUGGUUCCCAGAGAGGGGGUGUGCAGAGUCAGGUGUAAUAUUGAUCUACUUUUAUGUUUGUAAAGAAAUGACAGGUAAAUAAAGUUGAUAUACACCUCUAACGCACUUUCAGCACCAACUUCAACAUUUAGUUUCCGCCCGGCGAGGAGCGUGCGCCAUCAAAAUGUCAUCUUUUGGAAACAUCCCAGAAAAACAACCUUGUUCUCAGCCGUCUGAUGGUGUUUUUUACUCCUCCCAGCGGGGUGUUGGAGGAGGUUUAUGGGCCAGAGCGGACAGAUAGAGGAGUGUAAACACACGGAGGAGCAUGGACUACAGGCUGUGGAGGGAAACAUGAAAAUCAAUGAAACACACACACUCGUGUCUCCAUCUCUGGUGGAGGUUGUUUCAACAUCCUUCAGCGAGUUUUUCAAGGAAACGGGAACAUUUCUUUAGACUUUCAUCGUCUUUGUAACGUGCGGUGAAGUUCAUCAGCUGUGUCUUGUUUACAUCCUCGCUCUGGUGUUUGCAGGCGUCUUUAGGAGACGCUCAAGUAUUGAUUCUGAGGAGGAUCCAAGGUGAGAGGAGAGGAAGGGAAAUACAUUUUUAAUCUGUGAUUAACUUUGAAAUCUGUAUAAGAGGCGUUUAAGUGAUCGCCUCGGAAGAUGAGGAGACUAACCCCGAACCCCGAACUGCGAGUCCACCAAUUCCUAACGGAUCUGUUGGUAAGGCAAAUCUCGUGACGGAUUACAGACAGCAGUAAUCCUGAGAAUUUACAGGAACCCGCAGAUUCUCGUUUAAUCGCACAAUAACGAGUUGUCUCUAUAAAGACAGACACAUAGACAUAUAAGCAGUAGAUUGUGUCCUUCCAGAGGAGGAAAUCUACUUCUAGACUUCUAGAAUCAGCAUCUCCUCAUCCAUGGUGUCAUCGGGGUGAAAUGACGUCUAAAAACCUUUCACUUGUUCGUCUCCGCCCGUUUACAUGGUGUGAAAUACGAUCCUCCUGAAACACGGAGUGUUUUAUUUUGAAAAGAAGCCGGAUGUUUUAUUUUGUUUCUGUGCCCGACUUCCUUUCCAGCACGGGUUAAUCUGUGCUGAAUUUAUCCGCCAUGCUCCGGCGUCCAGAAAAAAUAGAACUCUUGUGAUCAGCUGAGGAGUCCAGCGAUCCUCAGAGGAACGGAAAGAAGUCGGUGUAAAUUGAUACGUUAACUUGAAUGGUUACGAUCAGAAAAGAUCGGAGGAUACGACCUUUUAGGAGACGAUCAGGAUGAAGGUGGAAAUCUGGGGUCAGUCUGUAAGGUGGACUGAAAGACAUGCUAAUGUUCACAUAACUCUGCAGAUAAGUUUGACGUUAUUUACAUCCAUGUUUCCCUCUUUUUAAUGUGCAAGGGUGUAGGUGUCACCUGAGUAGCUUAAGAAGCAGAAGCAAUGAAACUCUUCCCUGAUUUGGCCACAGGGGGCGCCAAAAAAGUCACAAAAUCUGACUCAAAAGUCAAAUCUAGAUGUGUGUGCUUUGGCGCCACUUUUUGGAGACGAUGGACUUGAGUUUGUGUCUGACUGGCAGGAACUUUUAUUCUGAAAAUCUCCAAGUUUGUUUGGAUUCAGAGACUAAAACUCGAUGAAGUGAAACUGAAAAGGAUCACAAAGUCAAACAGAGGUUUGAGUUCAGACUCGGCUGUUUUUCAAGGUCGUCUGUGACCCUGGUCUCGCGCUCGCCUGGUGUCAGGUAUCAGUCCGUCAGGAGUUAAAUCCACUCCAGCGCCUGACAGCUCCACUCUCGCUCUCUGACUGAUGACACAUGACCGGGUCCGAACAUAAGAAGUCAAUAUAUUUGGGCCUUGUUUCCUGCCGUUCUCACCCCCCCUCCACGCCCUUCCCCUGCCCUCGAUGCUUCCUUUCCUCUCUCUCCUCCUUCCUUUCCUCCCUCGCUCUCUCCCGGCAGCCUGGAAUGAAUUUGCCCGGUCAUGUAGAGCCGUGUCGGCGCGAGGCGGAGCUGGCAAUUCAUCACCCUGCUCUGCCUGCCUGUCACUGCUUCUUUCUUUCUCCUGAGUGGGAGUGUGUGUGUGUGUGUGUGUGUGUGUGUGCAGGGCGGCUGGUUGCCUGCUGUCAGAGCUCCUCGUCUGCUCCUCCAUCCCCUCUGGACCCCCGGUAAAGACUGAGCGAGGCCCUUCGCUCUCCUCCUCGCUGUGACAGCUCCCAGCGGACGCCUGGAUGGAUGGAAGGAAUGAAGACGGGUGGAGGGGUGGGGGGGGACCCAAUUAUCCCAGAAUGCAGCGGUAGGUGGUGUUCAAAUCAGGCGGUGUGACCUCUGACCUCAACAGUCCAUUGGCGGGAGAGUGAGGUGUUUUAGCACAAAGCUGCGCGAGCUCAGAGGAAAGCUAAUGGAGCUCCAUUUUACCGCCAUUUAUCCACGGAGCGCGGCCGCCCUGCGGCGCUGCACAGAUUAACCAUUAAGACGCAUGAAGUCUCCCGCAGAGACACGGACAGACAGCGGACGCACGCCCAGCAGCUGAUCGGCCCAUUAGGGCGCACGCCGCCGCCAAAAAGACAACCACGGCUUAACGGAGAGGAUGAGGCCACUUUACCGACGACAUGCAGGACAGGAAAUGAGUUUACAGAUAAUUUAGCGCCACUUUCCCGCUCAGCCGCCGAGUCCAGAACGACAGCAGGACGUGAUGAGGACAAAUGAUGGAGAACCAGACGACGGGCGUGAACAAAGAGAGGAGGGGAGGGAACGCCACGAGUAGAAGACCCAAAGAAAGGAGACCACGUUAAGACUGAAGACCAAAAGACAGGAGACCAUGAAGAGUAGACUGAAGACCCAAAGAGAGAACAUGGAGGCCAACGCCAUGAUUACAAGACCGAGAAGGAGGGGGCCAUGAUGAGUAGACUGAAGACCCGAAGAGAAGCGACGACCAAGGUAACACUGAAGAACGAAAGAGAGGAGACCAUGAAGACGGGACCGAAGAGCCAGAGAGGAGUUCAAGAAGACUAGACUGAAGACCCAAAGAGAGAAGGGAAAGGCCAACGCCAUGAGUAUAAGAUUAAAAGGGAGGAGGCCAUGAUGAUAGACUAAAAACCCAAAGAGAGGAGAGAACGAAGAGUAGACCGAACCCAUGAAGAUUAGAUCGAAGAGCCAAAGACAGGCGACCAUGAAGAGUAGACAGAAGACCCAAAGAGAGAACGAGGAGGCCAAUGCCAUGAUUACCGAGAAGGAGAAGGCCAUGAUGAGUAAACUGAAGACCUGAAGAGAGGCGACCACGAAGAGUUGACUGAACACCCAGAAAAAGGAGACCACGAAAAGUAGACCAAAGACCUAAAGAUAGGAGACUGUAAAGAUUAGAACGAAGACCCAAUCCACUAAAAAGUUCAAAAAUUUAGAAUCACUGGAAGUAGAUCACCAACCAAA